AGCCAUUGAAUGGUGUCUUUAUACCUACUAAGGAGAUCUUGGACCUGAUCUGUUAUGCAAUUGUAGCCUUGCUAACAGAUUGAUUUUCUCUGAAAUGCUAACUUUUAUUCUUCAGUUUCUAUUAUGACAAUUGGUGAACUAGCCAGGAAGUUUGUGAGAGGGAGCCCAGCCCCUGAGACAGCCCUCUUUGAGUAACUCCCUAGCAUAUACUCUAGUCAACUUUUCAUCGAGGGACUUCUUCAUGGAUGACUGCCCCUGGGAUCAGACUCUCCCUUGGCUUCAAUCUCAAUUCUUCUGAGGUAAGGCAUGAAAUUAUCUGAAUUAUCAUGAAGUCAAUGCUUCAUCAUUUAAGUGAAAUAAUAAAUGUUGCCCAAAAGGAGCACAGUCUGAGAACUACUUCAGGUGGAUGAUUGUACCAGGGAAAAGUUGAAGUAGACAACCUUGCAUAGGCUAAGGAUGACCCUUUGGAAGAUUUUUCCCAGAGCCAGAAACAGCUGAUUUCACCAAGAAUUUCUCUUUGAGGUACCACCUCUCAAGGUUGAAUUCCCCCUGAAGUCCAAAACAAAUUUUCUCUGAGCCCAGCAACCAGCAAAAGACCUAGAGGGGUGAUGUGCUAAUAACUUCGCAGCUAGCAGGGACCUGACUUUCACUCCUCUAAGUUAAAGUUAUGGAGGAAGAUGUUGCCAAGGGCCUCCAUCCUGGGUAUGCUUGCAUUAAGAGAGUAAACUGACUGAGUUGGGACACCUCAGGGAAUAGUUAUGGCACUUCAGACUUUGAAUUGGAGAAACUAACCAAUGUGAUGUAGAUUCUCUGUAUCAGAUACAAUGAGGUCUUAAGUUUAUGACUUAAGUCACUUUGCCAUCAAAGGAAAUGCCACUCCCAGUCUUGGGAAUCUAUCUCCACCCGAACCUGAGUAGGAUAAAAUCAGUUCAGGUCUGGGUUGGAGUUUGACCAAGACAAGAAGAGUCAAUGAAAUCUCAUUAUCUGUGAUGUCCUUCUGAAGAACUUUGGAGGGAAGACUGGCAGGAGGAGCUCUGAUUUCUACGACACAGAUUACCGAGAGAAAUCAUUUUUUUUACAACAUGUAUUAUACACACACACACACGUAUAUGUAUAUGUAUAUAUAUAUAUGUAUGUAUGUGUGUAAACACACACAUUUGUGCCAUGUCUAGGAUGGAGUGGGGUGGAGAAGGAAGAAAGAAAGAGGGAAGAAAAGAAAGAAACAAGAAAUUUAUAGGAUAACUUUGUUGUCUUUUUGAAGGGAAUUACAAGUUGUAUAUGGUGGAUUUGCAGUUUCAUGUGCAAUAAUC